GAUGAACGCUGGCGGCGUGCCUAAUACAUGCAAGUCGAGCGAACGGACGAGAAGCUUGCUUCUCUGAUGUUAGCGGCGGACGGGUGAGUAACACGUGUAUAACCUACCUAUAAGACUGGGAUAACUUCGGGAGACCGGAGCUAAUACCGGAUAAUAUUUUGAACCGCAUGGUUCAAAAGUGAAAUACGGUCUUGCUGUCACUUAUAGAUGGAUCCGCGCUGCAUUAGCUAGUUGGUAAGGUAACGGCUUACCAAGGCAACGAUGCAUAGCCGACCUGAGAGGGUUAUGGGCCAUACCGGGACUGAGACACGGUCCAGAGUCCUACGGGAGGCGGCAGUAGGGAAUCUUCCGCAAUGGGCGGAAGCCUGACGGAGCAACGGCGCGUGAGUGAUGAAGGUCUUCGGAUCGUAAAACUCUGUUAUUAGGGAAGAACAUAUGUGUAAGUAACUGUGCACAUCUUGACGGUACCUAAUCAGAAAGCCACGGCUAACUACGUG
rnacentral:rRNA from 1 species